ACUCUUGCCACCACGUGCCAUGUCCAAGCCUGACCGACCCCUGCAGGCCCUGAAGAAAUUCUCUCUUAUGAAGCCUUGCCUCAUAGUCUCACUCACUGAGGCUCUCUGUCCGUUGUUUGAACUGCUCUUGUUGCCCAGGCUGGAGUGCAAUGGCAUGAUCUCAGCUCACCGCAACCUCCACCUCCCGGGUUCAAGCGAUUCUCCUGUCUCAGCCUCCCGAGUAGCUGGGAUUACAGGCAUGUGCCACCAUGCCCCACUAAUUUUGUAUUUUUAGUAGAGAUGGGGUUUCUCCAUGUUGGCCAGGCUGGUUGCGAACUCCUGACCUCAGGUGAUCUGCCCACCUUGGCCUCCCAAAGUGCUAGGAUUACAGGCGAGAGCCACCGUGCCCGGCCUGUAAUAUCUUUUUUUUAAGUUAAAAUUAUGUUGUGAACAUCUUUCUACAUUCACCAGUUAUCAUUGUAGCGGCAGGAUGGAACUUCCCGUUCUGCAGGAGGUCACUUACUCACCAAGUCCUCUGUUCCUGGAUAUUUAUGGUUGAUGCUUUUCCCCACUCUUUUAAAUUACAAACGAUGCUUUCAGGAAAACCAUUUUACUACAUCUUUUUGUUUCCCCCCCUAGGAUAUAUUCCUCAAAGUAGAAUUUCCAGGUGAAAGGGGAUGCAGAUUUUUAAAGCUUCAAAUAGUCAUACCAAAUACAGUUCCGGAAAAGUUGUUCUUACUCACAUUCCCACAACAUUGAUGAGAGAGUCUAUGUUCCGACGACAGGCUCUUGCAGCUCCAUGUGUGGGCGUGUAUGUAUGUACGUAAAAUUGCCAACUUGAUAAACUAUUUUAUUUUUGAAAAUUUGGAAUCCUAUUGUUCCCUGUUACUUUUUAAAACACAGCUGGUUUGCGAGAAAAUAAGCCUAUCUUCCCCAAGAAAUGAAUUCCUGGUCUUUGAUGUCUCUGGCUGGAAAUACCUGUGUUUUAAAAUGUGAGUUUUAUUGUUAUUCGGGUAUGUAAGGCCAACAGACCAGGAGAAGACUACCACUGAAGAGGCAGCUUAUUACACACGGUUCCAAAGAGGAGGGGCGUGCCGUGUCAUGGGGGCAAUGAAAGCACCAGGCUGGUUGGGAGGUAGAGGAAGGGGAGAAACUGUGGCCAGAGGCUUCUCUGGGGUUUCAGCAGGAAGGAACAGGUAAGGAGGGAUAAGCAGGCUGAGGAUCGGCCAGGUGGAAUAAUUUCAGCAGGCUCUGGCUCAUAAGACUGUUCCUUGUUGUCUGGUACAUGGACCUGGGUGUAUCAGGGAAGGUGGAUGGUGGCCCAGAGCAUGAGAGCCCCAUGAGGGAGGUGGUCGGGGUGUCUAUGAAAGGUGAGCUUGCAGGGAGUUGUUUAUCAUCUCAAGGAAUUAACUAACUGGCGGUGUGGUGGGGAGGAGUGGGGAGGAGCAGUCUCUCCAGGGUCAGCCUAGACCCUGGAUGUGGAAGCACCAAAGUAUAGAAAAUAAAGGCACGGUUCAUACGGCAUGCAGCUGGCUCACGGAUGGUGUGCCUGAGUGUGCAAAACGAUCUCGUGUCAAGUGAGGUGGCUCAGGCUGCUGUCCUUGUCGCUGCAAGCCCUGCUUGGAGAAUGAAAGCUCACUUGUUGUCAGGGUCCUCCAUGCAUCCCAGCACCCCUGGGUGGGACCAAGGGCAUGCUCCACCUUCUAUCACGAGGAACAAUUAGUAUUAACAAGACGGCG
rnacentral:lncRNA from 1 species